rnacentral:rRNA from 1 species
CAAUAGCGUAUAUUAAAGUUGUUGCAGUUAAAAAGCUCGUAGUUGGAUUUCUGGUAGGAGCGACCGUGCCGAACUUGAUUGUUCGAGUAUUGUGUUGUCUUCAGCCAUCCUCGUGGAGAACUUUUCUAACAUUAACUUGUUGGGAUUGGGACCCGCGUCGUUUACUGUGAAAAAAUUAGAGUGUUUAAAGCAGGCAUUAGCUUGAAUACAUUAGCAUGGAAUAAUAAGAUAGGACUUUGGUACUAUUUUGUUGGUUUGCAUACCAAAUUAAUGAUCAACAGGAACAGUUUGAGGGUAUUCGUAUGAACAUGUCAGAGGUGAAAUUCUUGGAUUUUGAUCAGACGAACUACUGCGAAAGCAUUUAUCAAGGAUGUUUUCAUUAA